rnacentral:sRNA from 1 species
AGUAGAUCCUGGAGAUGUGGUUACACAGCUUGAAUAUGAUACAGCAGUGUUCGAGUUGAUACAGCUAGUUCCACCAGUGGGUGAAACACUGUCUACGUAUGACGAAAAUACACGCGAUUUCAUGUUUCCGGGUCCAAACCAAAUGUCUGGACACCAUGAUUCAAACCGCCAGGUUACCAUGAGGAGGAUUUCUGGCCUUCGA